GACGGACGCUGGCGGCGCGCCUAAAACAUGCAAGUCGAACGAGAAGCCCGGGCUUGCCCGGGUGGACAGUGGCGAACGGGUGAGUAACACGUGAGGAACCUGCCCCGAAGACCGGGACAACACCGGGAAACCGGUGCUAAUACCGGAUGCCUUCACCGGAUCGCAUGGUCUGGUGAAGAAAUGGAUUCCGCUUCGGGAUGGCCUCGCGGCCUAUCAGCUUGUUGGUGAGGUAAUGGCUCACCAAGGCGACGACGGGUAGCUGGUCUGAGAGGAUGUCCAGCCACACUGGGACUGAGACACGGCCCAGACUCCUACGGGAGGCAGCAGUUAGGAAUCUUGCGCAAUGGGCGAAACCCUGAUGGAGCGACACCGCGUGGGGGAUGAAGGCCUUCGGGUCGUAAACCCCUUUUGCACGGGACGAAGCGCAAGCUGACGGUACCGUGCGAAUAAGAGGUUGCUAACUCUGUGCCAGCAGCCGCGGUAAAAC
rnacentral:rRNA from 1 species